AUUGAACGCUGGCGGCAGGCCUAACACAUGCAAGUCGAGCGGAUGAAGGGAGCUUGCUCCUGGAUUCAGCGGCGGACGGGUGAGUAAUGCCUAGGAAUCUGCCUGGUAGUGGGGGAUAACGUCCGGAAACGGGCGCUAAUACCGCAUACGUCCUGCGGGAGAAAGUGGGGGAUCUUCGGACCUCACGCUCUCAGAUGAGCCUAGGUCGGAUUAGCUAGUUGGUGGGGUAAGGGCCUACCUAGGCGACGAUCCGUAACUGGUCUGAGAGGAUGAUCAGUCACACGGGAACUGAGACACGGUCAAGACUCCUACGGGAGGCAGCAGUGGGGAAUAUUGGACAAUGGGCGAAAGCCUGAUCCAGCCAUGCCGCGUGUGUGAAGAAGGUCUUCGGAUUGUAAAGCACUUUAAGUUGGGAGGAAGGGCAGUAAGUUAAUACCUUGCUGUUUUGACGGUACCAACAGAAUAAGCACCGGCUAACUUCGUG
rnacentral:rRNA from 1 species